rnacentral:lncRNA from 1 species
GAGUAUGGAUGACAACCACGGACUAUUCUAGACAGUCCAGUGGAACACUAGCAGGCUCGCAACCUGUAGGUGUUGUGAACGAUGUCUUCACCGGUGUACUCUAAAAACCCAUUGAUAUGUAUUGCGAGUGGACUCUCGAAAACGAUACUGUUAAUAAAACCCUGGCAGAUGCGCCUAAAUGACUCUACCUGCAGAAACGCCUAAUAAAGAACCUCAUAACUCCGGCAGAUGCACCUAAAAGGACUAUUCCGGCAGAUGCGCCCCAUAGAGAAUGUCACAAUUUUGGCAGCUGCGCCUAAGUGACAGAACUAGCAGUUAUGCUUGACAGAUGUGUCAUUUACAACGAUGGAAUUCGUACUUAUUCCUUAGGAAUAAAUGAACAAGAAAUAGCUGAUUCUUAAGGUAGAUCCUUAAGAAUAAAGAAGAUAAUGGGGAUGGGUAAUUGGAUUGAUUGUUUAAUUGUUUAAACAUAAUAAUUAUAUUAUUGUGGGUUGAAAACCCUAUGUACUCACCAGGUUUCCCAACCUGACCCACUCAGUUUAUUUAUAUCACAGGUGUCGAUAUGAAGUGACAUUACACUGAGAGAUUAAAGAGAUGUAGAUCACUAGUGUAAAUAAAUGUAAGUUCCAUUUAUGCUUAUGUUCCUGUAUUAACAAUGACAUCCCAAAAGUUUAAAAUGAAUAAAAUACGUUUCUUCAAAAAUGUUUUGAUAACGUAUUUAUUGUAUUUUUCUGGGAACAAAUUCCGCAACAUUUUUAUGAAAAGAAGUACUCUGAUUUUUAUAAAGCAUAAACAAAAUCGGUCUUUUCUGGCCGUGAAAAUGGGGAUGUCACAGUUGGUAUUUGAGCAUUAGUUUAAGCGAACUAGGAAUUUGUAGGAAAUUUCUAGACUUAAACUUAGAAUGCUAAGCAAUGAUUGUGAGCUGUGAGCAUGUGGGAAGUAUGCCUAAUAUGCUUUUAUGUGCUAAAUGAUUUAUGAUGCUUUAUGAUGCUAAAUGUAUGGUCGGAUCUAUCAUCUGUUGCCGACCGGAUCUAGAAACUUUAUGUGUUCAGACUUCUAAACGUUUAAUUACGGUAUUAGAACUGGCAUGUAACUUUUCGGAGUGAUAGGGAGAAUUAUACGUCGAUCAUAAAUAAAAUCUUCUCUAUCUAAAUUCUCGUCACUCUACACCGGACAUCUAAAUUCGAUGUGUAGAUCGACAUGAUGAACACUAGAAACGGAUUUGGAAGUGGUAACCCGCAGCCCGAACCACCAGUGAUUGAGCAUGUGCCAGAGGUAGCAGUUGUACCUGGGCCAAUCACGAUGGUCGGAGUACAAGCAAUGGUGCGGAUAAUGUUGGAUCAACAGAUGGAAGAAACAAGGCGUUUACUUCAACAAAGUAAGGACGAACUUAUUGUGCCAGUACGCCAGACACCCGCUCUUGAGGCAACCAUCUGGGUUGCUAAGUCUGUCGAAGAAAUGAUCAACGAUUGGAUCGCCAACAAGGUUGAAGUUGGCAAGAAGAGGAAAUUUGAGGGAUCUUCAAGGUCGAACACGAAAAACUUAUUUUCACAGUCUGGAGGAGGAAGAGGUGAAGCAAAAUGGUGUAAUAUGAGAUACCCUAAGGAAGUGACCUGCUUCAAAUGCGGCAAGAUUAGUCAUUAUGCCCAUAAAUGCUCAACCAAGGAGGAAGUUUGCCUUAAGUGUAGUGGUGAGGGACACUUUAAGCAAGAUUGUUUGAUGAGAGCAACAACGCUAAAUGUACUGCUAAAACACUAUGAGGGAUACGAUGAGAAGGUGACUUGCUACAAAUGUGGAAGGACAACGCAUUACGCCAGCAAGUGCACAUCCAAGAGAAAGGUGUGCUACAAAUGUAACAAAGAAGGACAUUUAUCUAGGGACUGCCCGAAGAAAAAUGAAGUAGCAAGAGCGAAUGCACCUCCAGAGCUAAGGAGCAUCCUUGACAAAGCAGCUGGCAACGCAAGAAAUCAAGAGUAAGGACGGAUGACCGAAGAUCAAGUUAUAAAGUAGUCAUGUAGAUAGUACCACGUGGUGUAGCCUAUUAGAGGCAUAGUCUAGGGUGAACUUGAACACCUAUGUAAUAGUUUCAAGAAAUAAUAAAUCCUUCGUUUUGUUAUCUGGUGUGUUAAACUGUUAUCUGAUUUUCUUGUAUGGUGACUUGGAGACUGCGAGACAAUACUUGGGACAAGUAUGAGUAGGUGUGAAUGGUAGUAGAGACCUAUACUACCGAAAGCACAGGACUCACGCUUGGAUUAGGGAAAGUCACAAGGUUACCAAGAAGCCAAUAAUUGAUUCCGAUUUAUUCAAAUAUGUCGUUACCAUCAUUUCGGUAAUGACUAAGAAGAUUGUUGUUAUCCCGACCCUAGUGGUCAUAUCACAUUGAGUCCGACUACGAUGAGUAUGUUACGUGGUUCAGAGAACCAAGUUCGAUGUAACAUCUAACUUAAGCCAUAGGAUUGAAGUAAAAGAUGAUCGAAGUGAUCGGUAGAGGUAUCGCGACGGUUGCUUGUAGCUAGAAAUGCUACCUUGUAAGAUGUGAUUAGAACAUGAAGGAAGGUAUAAUCUAUUCUGAAAUUUGACUCUAAAAGACCUGAGUCCAAGCAAUGCGUCAUACGAUGAGAGGUCGUUAGAACAUGACCCAUCGGUUUAUUAUGAUAAUCAAAGUAAGAAACUUAUCUCAAGUUUUUUAAAGAAGGAGCCUCCAAUAAAGAUCGAGAUCGUGACAUUAAGAUCAUGAGAUAGAGAGCAGGUCCAGGAUCGGGCACCGCCUGUAGUCAGGAAGUCUUAGAGUUAGAUACUCGUUCGAAGAAACAUCAAAGUUACGAUUAUUACUUAGGAUGAAGAGAUAACGUAUGGAUUCAUCAUGUGAGCCCUGUUUCGUUGAUGAUUCAGGGACGUAAUCAUCCUAAGGGGGAGAUAAUUGUAACGCCCGUAGAUCCGGGCUAGUCAAUUUAGAGAUAAUAGGGGUCGAAAACGACUUUUCGACAAAUGAUUAUUUAGAAUAAUAAAAUCUUAACCAAGUUGUAGAAUAUGCCUCAAGGGUUUCGUACAUAUAAAGAACGCCGAAAUCCGAGUUAUAACGAAGAAGUUAUCGCUCAUCGUAGUUUUACGGCAAAACCGGCACGGCACCGGAGACGUAAAUAGUGAAUUUACGAUGGAGGACUUUUUAGCCUUAGUGAUCUAAACCAAAGUUGUAGUAUAUGUUAAACCGAGAACAUACAAAAAAAUAACGCCCAAAUCUGACUUCGUAUGAGGAAGUUAUGAUUUUUCUAAGAUUUGACAUAGCAGUGCACGGCCCGAAACUCGAAUUUUAGUUCGAGCGGUUUUUGGCUUACGCGACCUUAAUUAGAGUUUAAGAUCUCAUUAAUAGGAACUCAACGGUAAAAAGACGGACGAAAACGGAGUCCGUAUGAAGGAGUUACGAAUUCUUCGUGGUCAUUUAACAGUCUAAUCUCCUCCUACUGUUAAAUUUAAAAUCCGUUGAGAAUUAGCCAAUGGAGUCAAAAGGAAAGUUGUCGAUCUUGUUUUUACCUACGCGUGGCUAUAAAGAACGUAAAAAACGGAGUUCGUAUGCGAAAGUUAUGAAUUUUUAAAGAUUGGCUGUUUUACCUGCGUCCGACGCCACUUGUCAGCACCAGACUUUGCCUUGGAGCCUACGCAAAACUCACGACGUGAACACCCUUUUUCACGACGUGAAUUGGCCCAGACAGCCUAUAAAUAUAGGCAUAAAUCACCCCCAAAACUCACACCUUUCAUACUCUUUCUCUCCCAUUACUCCCAAACCAUCUUCCCAUUUCCCUAGCACCUCCUAGGUGCUAGAGGCGAGUCCCGGAGCGCCAGACGGCUCCAAGAAGAGCCUUUCGGCUCGGGAACGCUGCUCCAACGGAGCCUGGUUUUCUUUAAAACCUGCUGUAAGUGAGCUACGUCUACACUAUUUUUAAUAUAGCUUCCAAAUAAUUAUAGUAAUGUUAUUAGGUCCUUAAAAUAAUUAUUUGGGCUAUUAUUAUGAGUUAUAUAGAGUGUUGUUUAAUGCUUAUAUAAUAAUAAUAAUAAUAGCUAGACUAUUAAUUAUUCGCGGUUAACGUUAGACUAAACCCUAGUGGUAAUUAUACUAGGUUUUGUCGGAGGAAAUUGUUUUGAUAUAACGAAGUGUUGUCCGAGUACCACGUCACCACCUUAUCGGGUGAGUGCAUAGUUACUUUCAUCUUACACAUAGAUAUAAAGUAUUUAUAUAAAUUACGUGCUAUGUGUGCAUAUUACCUGAGUACUUGCUGUCUAUGCUGGAUGAACGAUUUUAUACACGUUUUAAAUGAUUUAAACUGUAUAUGUAUUUUAUAUCUACGAAAAUGUUGGGGUAAGACAUGGGUAGAUGUAAUAGAUGAAAUAUGAGUUGGAUGAUGAGUUGAGAGGUGAAAUAGACCGUGAGGUGAGGGUGAGAGGUGGACGAUGUGAGAAGCCUUUUUCCCAAAUGAUGGCCCCGUCAUUCAGCAGAGUAUGGAUGACAACCACAGACUAUUCUAGACAGUCCAGUGGAACACUAGCAGGCUCGCAACCUGUAGGUGUUGUGAACGAUGUGUUCACCGGUGUACUCUAAAAACCCAUUGAUAUGUAUUGCGAGUGGACUCUCGAAAACGAUAUUGUUAAUAAAACCCUGGCAGAUGCGCCUAAAUGACUCUACCGGCAGAAGCGCCUAAUAAAGAACCUCAUAACCCCGGCAGAUGCGCCUAAAAGGACUAUUCCGGCAGAUGCGCCCCAUAG